UGAUUAUGGCUCAGGAUGAACGCUGGCGGCGUGCUUAACACAUGCAAGUCGAACGGUCGUAGCAAUACGAUAGUGGCGCACGGGUGAGGAACACGUAGCUAACCUGCCCCCAAGUACGGGAUAACUUCCCGAAAGGGGAUGCUAAUACCGUAUAAGCUCACGCCGAGUAGGUAGGUGUGAGAAAAGGUUUACUGCUUGGGGAGGGGGCUGCGGCCCAUCAGGUAGUUGGUGAGGUAACGGCUCACCAAGCCGACGACGGGUAGGGGGUCUGAGAGGAUGGCCCCCCACACUGGGACUGAGACACGGCCCAGACUCCUGCGGGAGGCAGCAGUGAGGGAUAUUGCGCAAUGGGGGAAACCCUGACGCAGCGACGCCGCGUGGGUGAUGAAGGCCUUCGGGUCGUAAAACCCUUUUGCCACUGACGAGGAAGGACGGUAGGUGGCGAAUAAGCCUCGGCUAACUACGUGCCAGCAGCCGCGGUAAAACGUAGGAGGCGAGCGUUAUCCGGAGUUACUGGGCGUAAAGCGCGCGCAGGCGGUUCGUUAAGUGGGGCGUGAAAGCCCCGCGCUAAACGCGGGGAGGACGAACCAUACUGAUGGACUGGAGUGGAGCAGAGGGACAUGGAAUUCCGGGUGUAGCGGUGAAAUGUGCAGAUAUCCGGAGGAACACCAGAGGUGAAAACGGUGUCCUGGGCUCACACUGACGCUGAGGCGCGAAAGCGUGGGGAGCGAACGGGAUUAGAGACCCCGGUAGUCCACGCCGUAAACGAUGCCAACUGGAUGCCUGUUCUCCGAAAGGGAGUGGGUGUCGGAGCUAACGCGGUAAGUUGGCCGCCUGGGGAGUACGGUCGCAAGGCUAAACUCAAGGAAUUGACG
rnacentral:rRNA from 1 species